AACGAACGCUGGCGGCAUGCCUAACACAUGCAAGUCGAACGGGAUCCUGGUUUCGGCCAGGUGAGAGUGGCGGACGGGUGAGUAACGCGUGGGAACCUGCCCAGUGGUGGGGGAUAACUGCGGGAAACUGCAGCUAAUACCGCAUGAGCCCGCAAGGGGAAAGAUUGAUCGCCAUUGGAGGGGCCCGCGUUCGAUUAGGGUAGUUGGUGAGGUAACGGCUCACCAAGCCUACGANCGAUAGCUGGUCUGAGAGGAUGAUCAGCCACACUGGGACUGAGAUACGGCCCAGACUCCUACGGGAGGCAGCA
rnacentral:rRNA from 1 species